AGCAAUACAACUGGUGGCGACCGGCGCACGGGUGAGUAACGCGUAUGCAACCCAUCUAUCAGAGGGGAAUAACCCGGCGAAAGUCGGACUAACUCCGCAUAAAACAGGGACACCGCAUGGUGAUAUUUGUUAAAGAAAUUCGCUGAUAGAUGGGCAUGCGUUCCAUUAGGUAGUUGGUGAGGUAACGGCUCACCAAGCCGACGAUGGAUAGGGGAACUGAGAGGUUGGUCCCCCACACUGGUACUGAGACACGGACCAGACUCCUACGGGAGGCAGCAGUGAGGAAUAUUGGUCAAUGGGCGAGAGCCUGAACCAGCCAAGUCGCGUGAAGGAAGAAGGAUCUAUGGUUCGUAAACUUCUUUUGCAGGGGAAUAAAGUGCAGGACGUGUCCUGUUUUGUAUGUACCCUGAGAAUAAGGAUCGGCUAACUCCGUGCCAGCAGCCGCGGUAAUACGGAGGAUCCGAGCGUUAUCCGGAUUUAUUGGGUUUAAAGGGUGCGUAGGUGGUUUGAUAAGUCAGCGGUGAAAGUUUGCAGCUUAACUGUAAAAAUGCCGUUGAAACUGUCGGACUUGAGUGUAAAUGAGGUAGGCGGAAUGCGUGGUGUAGCGGUGAAAUGCUUAGAUAUCACGAAGAACUCCGAUUG
rnacentral:rRNA from 1 species